CCCUUAGAUGUUCUGGGCGGCCCGCGCACUACAAUGGCGCUUUCAGCGAGUUCCUAUGUUGAAUUUUCCUGGGUAUUCUUGGAAGCGGCGUCUUGACUUGGGAUAGAUCCUUGUAAUUGUUGGUUUUGAACGAGGAAUUCCUUGUAAUCGCGGUUGAUCAGCUCGCGUUGAAUACGUCCCUGCCCUUUGUACACACCGCCCGUCGCUCCUACCGAUGAAUCGUCCGGUGAAGUUCACAGAGUGGCGGUUCGUGGAGUUGCUCGCGAAGUGAAAUGGACCUCACGAUUUAGAGGAAGGAGAAGUCGUAACG
rnacentral:rRNA from 1 species